UACGUAGGUGGCAAGCGUUGUCCGGAUUUACUGGGCGUAAAGAGCGCGCAGGCGGUCGUGCAAGUCGCGUGUGAAAGCCCCCGGCUCAACUGGGGAGGGUCACGCGAUACUGCUCGACUUGAAGGCAGGAGAGGGAAGUGGAAUUCCCGGUGUAGCAGUGAAAUGCGUAGAGAUCGGGAGGAACAUCAGUUGCGAAGGCGGCUCUCUGGACCAGCACUGACACUGAGGCACGAAAGCGUGGGGAGCAAACAGG
rnacentral:rRNA from 1 species